rnacentral:lncRNA from 10 species
GUUCCAUAUGAAUAUAACUUCUUGCCUAAGUUGGUUUAGGUAAGAAGACUCUUCAUGUGCCUGUUUCCUUCAAAUUUUAAGGGAGAGCUCUUGCAUGGUGGUAGAACCGAGGACAGCCUAGACCUUCUGAUUGUCAACUCCUUGUUCCAUUGUGUCCAAACCUACAUGUCUGAACUCCUCUCAUCAAAGACUUCUCAAAGUUAUUAAUAACUGGGGAUCACGUAUUCAGUAAUUACACACAUCAGGCUCCAUGCUUUCUGUGCAGUAUGUAAAUUGAUUCAUUGUCAUACUAAUUAUAAAUGGCUAGUAUUAUUGCUGCUUUACAAAUGAGGCAUAUGACACACAGGGAGCUAAAUAAUUUGCCUAAGGUCACCCCACUUGUAAAUGAUGAAGCCAGGACUCAAGGCCAGGUCUGGCCACCCCUGAAUUUAAUAGCUUUAUCCUCUAUAUCUCUGUUUUCUCCCAGACCAAGGUGUCUGUACCUCUCUGCCAACAGAGAAAAGGGUUCAUUCAUUCAUCAAAUGUUUGUUGAGCAUCUAUUGUGACUCAGGCAAUAUCCUAGAUCAAGGAUUGUCAAACUUUUUCUAUAAAGGACAAGAGAGCAAACAUUUUAGGUCUCCUGGGUCAUACGGUCAGUCACUGUGAUUCAACUCUGCUGUUGUAGUACAAGAUUGUGAAAGCAGCCAUAGAUGAUAUGUCAAUGAAUGAGCAUGGUUGUGUUCCAAUAAAAUGUCACUUGCGAAAGCAGGCUGUGGGCUGGGUUUGGGCCAAGAGUUCUAUCCCUGCUCUAGGCACUGGAGUUACAAUAGCAAAAAAUUAAAAUAAAGUAAAAUAAAAACAC